GGAAUUAGGAUUGAGGUAGUGGAAUCUAGAAUUGCUAGGUUGCUGGUUAGCAUUGUUAGGUUGCUGGUUAGAAUUGCGGUUAUGUUGCAUUGUUGUUAGAAUUUGUUGGGUUAGUAGAUUAUUUAGUUAAUUAUCUACUAACUUGCGUAUGAAGUGUUCUUUUGAAUUGCAACGAGUAAGUGUGUUCGUUGAUCGGAACUAUAAGGGAUGAAAACCUUAAAGUGGAGGGAGUUCGAGGCCAAACCCAAACCCGAAGCGAAAGAGGAGAGACAGAUACAGAAAACUGGGCUUUGGUAUGGACUGGACAUAUGGUGAGGAACAAGACUUCGUUGGGAAAGGAUUUCAUCAGUAGUUGGGAAGACGACGAUCGAGAAGGAUUUGAGGAAUCUUGACAAGGAUGAUAUCUAUCGAAAGGACAAGAUAAUAUCAUGGGAAAUGAGUGUGUUAUGGCAGAGUAAAAGCAAGUUGACGACUCAGUGAUCAUUCCAGUGAAGAGAUAUGAAGACGAUUGUGGAUGCCUUGAAGAGGACACUCAAGGAACCGUGGUGGACAGAGUAAAGAGGUUAUGGAGGCGAGUGGAGAAUGUUGUGAAGAUGAGCAAUUGCGCAACUAAGAAUUCGAGGACGAAUUCUAUUAAGGGGGGAGAAUGUAGAAACCCGUUAAAAAAAAAAGAGAGAGAGCAAUAAGGAUCGAUCGAGAAGCUUUGAAGUACGAGGUGGGCGAAGAAUUGACCGUGAGUGAAUUAUGAGUCGAAUAAGUUGCUCGACCAUAGUUAGAAGAUAUCUUAGAUUGAUUAGACAGAUGUUUUGGAAGCAGAAC
rnacentral:lncRNA from 1 species